rnacentral:lncRNA from 1 species
AAAAUAAAAAUAAAAAAAUCGACUACAAACUAUGAUCAAUUAUUGCUUUUUACUGCUAAAAUUGAAGAUUUCGCAUAUGAGCCAUAAACAUUCAUUCUCAUUUUUCACUCUCAAACUUGUUAUAUUUCUACCAUGAAUGUCCAAAACAUACUUCUCUUCUUCAUUGUCAACAACAUAUUCAAUUAAUUAAAUUAACAUAAUCAAUAAGUAGUAAAAUUCAUUAAUUAUCAUUACUCUCUCUCU